rnacentral:lncRNA from 1 species
AUAUUCUGCACGGGCUUCUGGGCAGGCAGCACUAACACUCAGGAGAAGGUCUGCCUCUGUCUGCGCCUUCCUGGUUCAAUGCAGGCAGAUGAGUGUCACAGAUGUAACUGAGGCACUGAAUAAUCAACAUAUCGGAGCCAAUUCCCAGGACGGCAAGAGGGGGAACCGGCAGAGAUGACUGACCCUGGAGGACAAGAGCAUUCUUCUGACAAGUUUUAGGUAAGGGAAUAUUUAUAUACAAUUCGUUCGGAAUCUUUGUGCCUGAGAGAGACAUUUGUGAUUAAGAAAAAGGAAGUCACUAUAGGUAAAUAUCUUUGAGAGGGUACCCUCCCUGGUGUCCCUGGCUUGCAGAACCUGUCAGUGUAAAUGCCUGCUUUGUGUUACUAGACUCUUCAGAGGUGAGGUGUGUGCGGGGACUGGAGGAAGGGUGAGCUGCUUUUUAUGUCUGUGUGGUGACAUUUAUCAUGCUGUUUAAAUCUGUAUCUGUAGAAAAAAAAUAGAAUUUCUGUUUGACGAUAGUAUCGUUUUUUUUUUGUGCAAGGCAGAGCAUAUGGCUGUGCAGAAUUCAAGUGGCGUUCUUUCAUUCUUAAUUUGUAAUUAUUUUUACACUCAACAGUACUGAGGUCAGAGAGUUUUAAAAAUUAAUGAGAUUCCCUGUGGAGUUCAAAUAGUAAUAUCUACAGUGAGCCUCCACAAAGAGAUAAGAUUAGGCCAGUAUAUUUUUGCUAUAGAUUUGGCUGUCUUACUUUGAAUACACGCCAUCUGAAAGCAUAUGUAGGGUUCAAUAGUUUCUGGGAGUUGCUGUGAUUUGGAGACUAGCCCUUAAUUUAAUGUUUAGUGACCAGGAGCCAUGCAGUCCCAGUUAGAGUGCUGAAGAUGAACACGGUGAGCGGAGACAUUCCUAAAACUUCACAGACAUUAUUGUCAUGACAAUGGAGGGUAUCUUAGACUUUCGAGGAAAUAGCAAAUGAUGAAUGAGGCGCGUGCUAAGAAGAGGAAAAAAAUCUGCAAAUGUAUUUUUAUUUUAAGUACUGUGUGAAAAUUCUAUGUAGAAACGGCUAUUUAGGAUCAAAGAUUGCUGGUCUGAACAAAGAGGCAAGGAUCUGUACAGGUGAAAAUUUCUUUGCCACAAAAGGAGUCUAGACCUUGGAUUAAGGACAGUAAGUGAUUUGUUAUUUAUUUAUUUAUUUAUUUAUUUAUUAUUAUUAUUAUUAUUAUUAUUUAAAUCUUUACUCUUGCCCCACAAAGGUAGCUCACUGGGCGAGUCCAGGCAUUUAAAACUUUGAUUUCCCACAAUUUAAAAACAUUGUUGAUGUCCGUGGUCUAAGACACUGUUUACAAGAGAGGCACUGCCAAGUAGUCUGAACAUAGAGUAAUCUGGGCUAAAGAUGUUUUUAUCCCUAGCUCCCCAUUUACAAGAUCCAUUCAGGUCUUCCUCUGACACAUUGUUAUGUAAAUACUGUUCGGCCAGGGAAAGCCCGGCGAUGGAGAUUCAAUUUACUUUGAAAGUUGUUCAUUAUAGCAAGGAUGAAUGUUAUUUAUUUGAAGCGAUUCAAAGACUGGAAAUGACUUUUUCAUUGUGGUACCUUUUGUGAUGGGUUCAGGGUGAUCUAAUCUUUUUAAUUUUGGCUUUCACACCAGUGGAGAUGAAAAGAGAUCUGAACUCAUUUAUCGGUUGCUAGGUCUUUCUGGAAGCCGAAGUUCUGCUUGUGGUUGCUAUGGCCGGGCUGACCUCAAUCUCUGUGGUUUGAGGGACUUAAGCAGUCAUUUUUUUUUUCUUUUCUUUUCUUUCUUUCCUUUUUUUUUUUAAUUGAAGAGCAUGUACCUUGAUUUAUGUCCAAAACUGUAGCUGAAUGUCUUUGUCCGCGGGUGAUAUAUGGUGCAGAACAAUUCAUCUGUUCUUACGAGUAAACACCGCUGUCCCACUAAAAAUAUGUUUUGUUCGGAGUUAAUGGUAUGGAACAGGGCAUUCUCCACAAACAGCUAUCUUUUAUUGUGUUGGGGCCGCGGAAACGCUGAGCAAAGUGCAGGAAAUUGGCAUCAGUCCUCGCGUCUAUUAGCAUUUCAUUUGUGAGUCGCCUGAUAAGACGGUAGGUGGACAGAGCGAGCGAGGACGGGUGUCUCCGGUGUCUCGACAUCCUCACUUUCUCAGCUGGGACCGCCUAGCCUGUACCCGCAUUUGCCAGGACCCAGUAAGUCAGCGUUAGUUUCCCCUGACCUGGUGAGAGCAUCGCUUUGCCCAAGCGCUAAAGCACACCCAGGAGGACGGGCUGUGGCUCCGCGCUUGGGACCAGUAGUCUUAGGCUCCUUGAGGCAAAGUUGCUGGGUCCGAUCUCGGCAACACCCAGAAACGUAAUGCCUAUGUGCGAUUGCACCAGUCGCUUGCUUUCUAGACCCUUGUUAGAAAGGAACAAGGUGAAUCAGAGGCUAUGGAGAACACAGCCCCAUUCAGCAGAUGCGCCCGAAUACAGCCCUGCUCCUUAAAAACUGCUAACUGAUGGAUGCUGCGGGGGGGGGGGGAAGAGACAACACGAGUAAGAUGAGGGUGAAAUAGAAAUCAGGAAAAGCACGUAUCGCCGCUAGCACCAUCAUCUUCCUUCUCACAGCAGCUUGGUGGGUUUUCUUUCUUUCUCUCCCUCUCUUUUUUAAUAUGCUAAUGAUUUUUCUUCUAAAUCGGCCAGCAUGGACUAUCCUCAGG